rnacentral:lncRNA from 1 species
AUGCUCGGUUGGGUUCGUCCCGGCCGGGCGCUUGCCUGCCGCCGCGUCUUCCUUGGCCUGCGGAGACGCGGCUCUUUUCCUUUCCCCCCUCGCGGGCGGUCGCGGCGCCGCUUCUCCUCCGCUGCCCCGGGGCAGCCUGGGGGGCGGGAGCGGGGCACGCAGGGAGGCGGACGAGGCGCCUCUCCGAGCGGGGUGCAGCGUGCAGUGCUGGGGGCCUCGAAGUCCGCCUCGUUCUCCUCCCAGAGGCAGCGGGACUCUCUCGGGCCCUUUGCCUGGAGCCUCUUCGGGGCGGGGAGCGAGGUCCGGCUGCCUGGUUUUGGGGCGGGGGGCCCGGAAGCCCCUUCGGGACACCGGGGACCUGCGUGGCUGAGAGCCCGCAGAGACGGUUCGCUCUCCCGAGGGGAGCCCAGGCGGCCCAAGCCCCGCGCCCGUUUCCCCCCUGCGAGGGCUCCGCGGGUCCCCGCCUGCCCACGCGAGGAGGCAGCUCUCCGCCUGCUCGGCAUCCCCGGCGCGAGCGGCACCCAGGCGGCGCCGGGCUGGGUUCCACGCGGGGCGCCCGGCCGGCUACAGACAGACGAGACGGGGAGGAAGAGGCGGCCUCUUUCGGCCUUGCUUGGGCCGGAGCGACUUCCUCGGCCAGAGGCGGGCAGGGCUAUUUCUGGGGGCUGGCAUUUGAGGGGAGGGCUGCUUUUCCGCUUGUCAUGGGAAAAAGAAACUCAAGCUGGAAAGAUCUGGGCAGCCAUCAGCCAACCUUCCUCCUCUCCUGUUUCAGAGCCACGCUUGAUGGACCCUGCUCCUAACCCAGAGCCCGUAAAUGAAGGUCAUUGCACUUUUCUUGGACGGGACGUGUUCUCUCGUCCCACAGAGCAGAUCCUCCAUUUCCCCUUCAGCCAGCCUCCUUGGGAACAGCCCGAAGACUUUAGAGAAGAGGAAUCUCUGAAGUUCUACAUUAAUGUGGCCAAGAGUGUCCGUUUACACCAGAACCCGGGAAGAGUCGCUUGCUUGAAGUGGGCAGUAAGUAGAAACUGA